rnacentral:lncRNA from 1 species
CCAUGAUAACCCUUUUUUUACUUGUUCUUCUAUUUGAAGGUUUAUACGCCAUUCAUUCAACUCCUUCAAAUUUCAUUUUCAUAACUUAUUGUUAUUAUCUUGCUUUGCAGCUAGAAAAUAAAUUAUCAGCUUUUCAAAUUGUCUUUCUAUGUUUUGCAAUAACAUAUACACACACAAAUGGAAAAGUACUUGAAAGUUGAAAGCUUGGAUUUCUAUGUUGAAAAUGAAAAUUAUAAUGAGAUAAUUAAACAGCAUAAAAGAUAAAAUGAAAUUAUAAAAAACAAAAAAACCGGAAAAGAGGUAGGGUGGUAGUUAACUCCAAAAAACUAAUUUCAAUACAAUAGAUAGGAACCUCAAUUCUCUUUUAUUUAUUUAUUAUUAUUAUUUCAUUGUUUUGUUCUCUAUAUAUUUCAUUUAAAAUUAUUUUAUUUGUAUGUAGGUGUGUUGGUGAGAAUAAAUGGAAAAUUUUGUGAAGAGCAAUGGACUGAUGCAUGCAUCGAUGGUGGAGUUUGUGUAGAGUUAUGUGAGAGGCUUCAUCCUCCGGUUUCUUCAACAUUUGCAUAUUGCAUUCCUCCCUACUGUCAUUGCCAUUAUUAUUGUCAUCAGUAAUAUUAAAAUUAAAAAG